AGGAGUGUGUGUGAAAGCUCCACAGAGAGGCUGGGUGAGUGGUCCAAAGGCUGAAGGAACUACUGAGGAACUCAGAGAAGCAGCUGCAACCCCAGAGGAAGGAUGGGAACCAACGAUGGGGAGCAGAAGCAUGACCCCUGAUGGUGUGCUGGUAGCUGUUUGCUUAUCACAGAGACUUGAAUCUCUAACUGUGGACCAGGAACCCAUUGUACAAACACAGAAGAACUAAUUAAUCUUUGUCCCAAGACAGCUUACAAUAUAAGCAUAAGGCUAACCUGGAGAUCUGAGAGAUGGUUUGCUGAUCACAGAGUCCGCUUCUGAAACCAACAGCCACA